rnacentral:lncRNA from 1 species
CCCCCCUGUAGUCCCAAGCAGUCAAGGUGUGUUUCUGUUGAGGGGCUGUGCCGGCAGGCACCGCGCUGGCCAGGUGGAGGCCGUGGCUUAGGAGGCAGGGCGAGGGAGGGGCGGCCCCUCCCCACGGGGUGCUGAAGCCCAGUGCUUGCAGCUAUGGUGCGCCGCGGGGGUCAACCUGAGCGGGUGGCGGCCGAGCGAGGAGGACCCCGCGAAUGGAAUCAAGCCCGCGCCCGGCCGCGACCCUCUGACCUGCGACCGGGAAGUGGAAGGCGAGGCCAGGAGCAACCACACGUCUCCGGAAAAGAAGGCGAAGGAGCCGCAGGAGCCGGCCCCCUCCAGCCGCGUGUGGGUGCUCACCAGCACGCUGAGCACCAGCAAGGUGGUGGUGGUCGACGCCAACCAGCCGGGCACGGUCGUGGACCAGUUCACCGUGUGCAACGCCCACGUGCUGUGCAUCGCCAGCAUCCCCGGUGAGCCGGCGGCCCGGGAAGCCGGGCUCGGCGCAGCGGGCGGCCCCGCGGGCGGGCGUCCUCGGGAGGGCUGCCGGUCCCCCAGGAGGAGCCGGGCGAGGCCAAGGCUGGGCCUGAGACC